rnacentral:rRNA from 1 species
GGCGCAGGCGGAAAUGUAAGCCAGAUGUGAAAUCCCGGGGCUCAACCCCGGAACUGCAUUUGGAACUACAUUCCUAGAGGGUAGACGGAGAAAACGGAAUUCCACAUGUAGCGGUGAAAUGCGUAGAUAUGUGGAAGAACACCGGUGGCGAAAGCGGUUUUCUAGUUUAUACCUGACGCUGAGGCCCGAAAGCUAGGGGAGCAAACAGGAUUAGAUACCCUGGUAGUCC